UGGACAAUGGGCCGCAAGCCUGAUCCAGCAAUGCCGCGUGCAGGAAGAAGGCCUUCGGGUUGUAAACUGCUUUUGUACGGAACGAAACGGUCCGGGUUAAUACCCUGGGCUAAUGACGGUACCGUAAGAAUAAGCACCGGCUAACUACGUGCCAGCAGCCGCGGUAAUACGUAGGGUGCAAGCGUUAAUCGGAAUUACUGGGCGUAAAGCGUGCGCAGGCGGUUUUGUAAGACAGGCGUGAAAUCCCCGGGCUCAACCUGGGAAUUGCGCUUGUGACUGCAAAGCUGGAGUGCGGCAGAGGGGGAUGGAAUUCCGCGUGUAGCAGUGAAAUGCGUAGAUAUGCGGAGGAACACCGAUGGCGAAGGCAAUCCCCUGGGCCUGCACUGACGCUCAUGCACGAAAGCGUGGGGAGCAAACAGGAUUAGAUACCCUGGUAGUCCACGCCCUAAACGAUGUCAACUGGUUGUUGGGUCUCUUCUGACUCAGUAACGAAGCUAACGCGUGAAGUUGACCGCCUGGGGAGUACGGCCGCAAGGUUGAAACUCAAAGGA
rnacentral:rRNA from 1 species